rnacentral:lncRNA from 1 species
CUGAUUUGUGGAAGUCGGGGAACUGGUUCUUGCACCAUGACAAUGCACCAGCUCACGCAGCCAUCUCAGUGUGCCAGUUUUUGGCAAAAAAAUAAAAAAAAUAGCACGACUCCCUUGCCCCACGCCCCUUACUCACCCGACCUCACUCCGUGCGACUUUUUUUUGUUUCCUCGAUUGAAGAAGAGCGUGAAAGGACUGAGAGUUCACGACAUAGAAGAGGUGAAGGAAAAAAACGAGAAAGGAGCUAGCUAUCAGCCAUCAAAACAGACGAAUUUGAAAAAUGUUUCGAAGAAUGGAAUCGCAGAUUGGACAAAUGUAUUAGGUGUAAUGGAGAGUACUUUGAAGGUGAUGAGGUUGUUUUGUAAAAAAUAAAUACAUAGCUUUUAAAAAAUAAUUCCGGUUACCUUUGGGUACCCCCUCGCAUGUCAAUAUCUGUGCCGUGCCCGCUUGUAAAAAUAAAUGUGGUGGGCAGCAGUUAAAGGCAUUGCCUCUGAACCUGAACUGCCAAAGUUAGCAGCAUUGAAUGUGAUUAAUUAGUUCCACUUGAAAGUAAACCUAGCUCCAAGCAUUAGCUCUUUAUGAGAAGAAAAAAUGUUACAUUACUGCAAAUGCUUUGCUACUUGGGCUUGUUGAUGUAGUGCAGACGACAGAAGCCAGACAAUUAGCAAAAGUUUAUUGUCAAUGAACUGUACAAAUGAAAAAAAAAAAAAAAAUGAAACCUUUAUAUCACCACUUAUUUGCACAAGAAAAAAUAUGGUCCAUUUGUAUUCAUCUGUACAGGAAAAAGUGCAAAUCAACGUGAUACUUCUAUAAAUUGUACAAUGUGGAAGUGCUUCCAGCCGUCUGAUGGAGCACAAUUCCAUCUUUAUGGUGCUUUUUCUUAGGACAGAGAUGUCCACAUUACAACUAACAAAGAUGACUCAUGAUAAAACUUCUAUUCCCAAACUAAACAGCUUGAAAACAUAGCACAUUUUGUUUUAGGGCUCUGUUUACCUACCACACAGGAAAAACUAUGACCUGUAGUCAUAUAUAUAAAUAGAUGCACAGUAAAAUUGCCAAUCUGUUGUUGCAUUCCUACUUUGAAGCUCGCUGCUGCGACACUCGUACAGCAAGAUUCACAUGCAAAGAUAUGAAUGCAAGCUGUACAGUGACAACCACACUUAUAGAGAACACAGCCCCUCAGCAUGUCUUCUUCUUGGCCAUUAAAACAACCAACAGCAGAAUGAAUAUAGUUCACAGAAAGGCAAAACCAAGUGUGCUAACUGGACAUCACUUCAGGUGCUGUCCAUGCCAUGAUGCUCUUAGAUUAAAAUAACACUUGUGGCAGCAAGGAUGUGCACAGGUACUUGUCUUUUGAAACCGUGAUUAUACUAUUGAUCCAUCAAUUUUUUGUGUCCCACACUACAGCUGGGAUAUGAGGGAUGCUGGGGUGGAAACCUUGACUCCUUUGAAGCACCUUAGGUUUUGUGUUCUGCAUCAAUCUAAAUGCAGCCAAACCCACCAUUUCGUGCUGAGCAGCAAAAUGCCACAGCUGCAGCGCUGUGAUCACUACUGCAAUGCAUAAAGAAUAUAUAUUUCAAGGGGCCUUAAGUUAACAUACUUAUGUUUUCCUUGUUGCAAGGCCAAUUUAUUAGUCGUGCACAAGUGCAAACCUACAGGCACUUGCAUUUUCACACAAUAUAUAGAAACAUUCUAAGAGGUAAACUACAAAUGUGGUAUGUCUUGCAUGAAAUGUAAACAGUCAUAUUACUGCAAUCUAUACUUUACUGUUGAUCAGUGCACUAAGUGCAUCAACAACAUGAGGCAAAAGGCCACACAUUUAAACACCAAAUUUCAGGCAUAACAAAGUGGCACAGUCCCCACAAGACAAACAAACAAGCACUUUUCUGAAUGCAAACCUCCACUAUUUCUACAACUAUCAAAGAUAGCAAGUAAAUUUCAUUCCCACUGACCAUAAAAGCUAAACAAAAAACAAGCACACAGGUGAAAUGUGGCCAAGUUUUUAUUUAUAUGUGUAGGCACCAAAGGAAACCUUGGUUCCUACAUGACAUAAUAGUGUCUAAGGGUGGUAAUCUUAGACCACAAAAUAAUUUCAGCAAAAAUGAGAUGGCAAGGCAGAUGCAGUUUUCAAGAUGU